rnacentral:piRNA from 1 species
UCCCCACUGAGGUUUGAUUUAAGAUGGC